rnacentral:lncRNA from 1 species
GUUACUGCGAUGGAGAGGUCCCCCGUCGUGGGCAGUGGGAGACUCGGGGUCUGGUCACUUCCUCCUCCCGUGGCCAAGAGUGAUUCAGUCUGAAUAAGUUGAGAUCCAAAGAAAAUGAAGAUUCCCCUGGGGAUCCUAAUGGUUGCAGUCUUGUGCUCCGUCGGUGAUCCUGCCCUUAAGAGGAAUGUCUCCUCGGCUCUGGGCCACGGCAACGCCACCAGUGUGGUGAAGGGGACGAUGCUUCCACCUCAUAUUGAGAAAGCGAAAACAACAGCUUUAGAAAUACACCUCCUCAAGUGCCAUGUGUGCAUGGGCAGCUUCCAGUGCUACUCGCCGCAGCUGUGUCAUCCCUCAGAAAGAUUCUGCAUGAUUGCUGAAACUGUCCAGGAAACCGGACCCAACGUGAUCAAGUACUGUUCAGUCUUUUGCCCAUUUAUCGACAAGUACCAUGGAAGAAGCAUGGAGAACUUGUAUGUUGCCUGUUGUGCUGAGGAUUUGUGCAAUUAUAAAAAACUGGGUACUGGGUCCAGAAUUUGUCCUAGUGUCUCUGUGGUGACAAUGGCAUUUGUAGCAAGUUUCCUUGGAACCCUCAGGAUUGGACUAUUUUAUGCUGGGAUGUGACCUCUGAGACCUUGCUCAUAUCAUGCCCUUCUCAAUUAAUUCUCAGCCAUAUCUCCCAUUAAUCUUCUGUAAAGGAAUUUCCCAGGUCACUGGAAGACUUUCCCAUAGUUCCAGAGAGCCAAUUUGGAUCUCUUCCCUGCAUUAUAUUCUUUUUUUUUUAUUAAAGCUUUUUAUUUUCAAAACAUAUGUAUAGAUAAUUUUUUAACAUUCACCCUUGCAAAAUCUUGUAUUCCAAUUUUUCCCCUCCUUUCCUCUCAUCCUCUUCCCUAGACCUGCCUUAUGUUCUUUAUAUCUCUUUGAGAUGUAUGGAAAGUGCUAUAUAAAUGCUUGUAAGUAUUAUUAUUAACAGGUACAAUAAUAAAAAUAAUAAUUUCC